rnacentral:tRNA from 1 species
UGGGGUGUGGCUCGGUGGUAGAGAGCUUGCCUUGCAUGCACAAGGCCCUGGGUUUGAUCCCCAGCACCAAAA